rnacentral:rRNA from 1 species
UACGGGGGAUGCAAGCGUUAUCCGGAAUCAUUGGGUUUAAAGGGUCCGUAGGUGGACGAUUAAGUCAGAGGUGAAAUCCUGCAGCUCAACUGUAGAAUUGCCUUUGAUACUGGUCGUCUUGAAUUAUUGUGAAGUGGUUAGAAUAUGUAGUGUAGCGGUGAAAUGCAUAGAUAUUACAUAGAAUACCAAUUGCGAAGGCAGAUCACUAACAAUAUAUUGACACUGAUGGACGAAAGCGUGGGGAGCGAACGGG